AGAGUUUGAUCCUGGCUCAGGAUGAACGCUGGCGGCGUGCUUAACACAUGCAAGUCGAACGAUGAUGCCAGCUUGCUGGUGGAUUAGUGGCGAACGGGUGAGUAACACGUGAGUAACCUGCCCUUAACUCUGGGAUAAGCCUGGGAAACUGGGUCUAAUACCGGAUAUGACUCCUCAUCGCAUGGUGGGGGGUGGAAAGCUUUUUGUGGUUUUGGAUGGACUCGCGGCCUAUCAGCUUGUUGGUGAGGUAAUGGCUCACCAAGGCGACGACGGGUAGCCGGCCUGAGAGGGUGACCGGCCACACUGGGACUGAGACACGGCCCAGACUCCUACGGGAGGCAGCAGUGGGGAAUAUUGCACAAUGGGCGCAAGCCUGAUGCAGCGACGCCGCGUGAGGGAUGACGGCCUUCGGGUUGUAAACCUCUUUCAGUAGGGAAGAAGCGAAAGUGACGGUACCUGCAGAAGAAGCGCCGGCUAACUACGUGCCAGCAGCCGCGGUAAUACGUAGGGCGCAAGCGUUAUCCGGAAUUAUUGGGCGUAAAGAGCUCGUAGGCGGUUUGUCGCGUCUGCCGUGAAAGUCCGGGGCUCAACUCCGGAUCUGCGGUGGGUACGGGCAGACUAGAGUGAUGUAGGGGAGACUGGAAUUCCUGGUGUAGCGGUGAAUUGCGCAGAUAUCAGGANGAACACCGAUGGCGAAGGCAGGUCUCUGGGCAUUAACUGACGCUGNNNAGCGAAAGCAUGGGGAGCGAACAGGANNNNNUACCCUGGUNNUCCAUGCCGUAAACGUUGGGCAC
rnacentral:rRNA from 1 species